AUCUACGGCCAUACCACCCUGAACGCGCCUGAUCUCUGCUGAUCUUGGAAGCUAAGCAGGGUCUGGCCUGGUUAGUACUUGGAUGGGAGAGAAAACAAAUCCCUGGAGAGG
rnacentral:rRNA from 1 species